UACAGAGGCCUCAAGCGUUGUUCGGAUUCAUUGGGCGUAAAGGGUGCGUAGGCGGCGCGGUAAGUCGGGUGUGAAAUUUCGGAGCUUAACUCCGAAACUGCAUUCGAUACUGCCGUGCUUGAGGACUGGAGAGGAGACUGGAAUUUACGGUGUAGCAGUGAAAUGCGUAGAGAUCGUAAGGAAGACCAGUGGCGAAGGCGGGUCUCUGGACAGUUCCUGACGCUGAGGCACGAAGGCCAGGGGAGCAAACGGG
rnacentral:rRNA from 1 species